rnacentral:lncRNA from 1 species
GGGGCAUCUGGGGACCAAGCCCAGGGUCCUGUCCUCAUUACUUAGACACUUCAGACUCAGUUAUAAAGGAGAUUGAGUGGUCUCCUGGAAGGGUGAGGUCUGCCCGGAAUGUCUGAGCGGCCCCAGGCAGAGAGCAGCAUUGGCUGGGCUGCGUGGCCUAUGUGGAGUUCUCACAGAUCUUCGGCAUUUCAAAGGCAGCCCUGAGGUAGCUUUCAAGACAAGUUAGCUUCCAACCCGCUUGCUGCUCCCAAAUUCCUGCUAAACGGAAACUUCGGGGCGUCCCCGCUCCAGGAAAGCCCUGGGAGAAAGAAGUUCCUGUUGGAUUAAAGCCUUACAUUUGGGAAGUUAGCCCCUCUCUUCGAGCCUCAGUUCUCCCUUUGCAAUGGGAAACUCAUCUCUGCCCCCUCAGGAUGAGUUGCAUAGCUCCUCAGCAUGCUGCAUGUGGAGAUUUCUGAGCUCUCAGAACACAGCAGUUCUCAACUAGGAGUGGAUGUCAGAAUCGCCUUGAUCCAUCUUCAAGUAAUGUCUGUGCAUGGUGUGAGGAUUGGCCUGGAGGUGGCGCCGCUGCUGUUGGUCUGGAACCACGGGACCAAGACUCAGGAGGGUCUGGCAAAUGGAUGAGGAUGUCAUCCAGCGGAAGAGGAUGCCCAGAAGGCCAGGCUGGACCCUUUUAUCAGCCGCUGGAAGAAAGCAGAGAUAUUGCCCAAACCUAAGAGCACUGAUAUGUCUUCCACAUGCUCAAGACUUAUCUUGAAAUCUGUUUUUGACUCCUGUUUCCUGAGAUCCAGAGUGAUCUGGGUUUUAAAUACAACACCCUGGUUUCUUCAUAAAACAUUUCAAAUCUAGCCUUACGACAAAUCCUUCCAUGGCAUAGCUUAAAAAUCCUUCUGAAAAAAAUGCGCUGAGGGUUUAUAGGGCAAAGAUACA